UGGGGAAUAUUGGACAAUGGGCGCAAGCCUGAUCCAGCCAUGCCGCGUGAGUGACGAAGGCCUUAGGGUUGUAAAGCUCUUUUGGCGGGGAAGAUAAUGACGGUACCCGCAGAAUAAGCUCCGGCUAACUUCGUGCCAGCAGCCGCGGUAAUACGAAGGGAGCUAGCGUUGUUCGGAAUCACUGGGCGUAAAGCGCACGUAGGUGGGCAGUUAAGUCAGGGGUGAAAGCCCGAGGCUCAACCUCGGAAUUGCCUCUGAUACUGGCUGUCUAGAGUUCGAGAGAGGUGAGUGGAAUUCCUAGUGUAGAGGUGAAAUUCGUAGAUAUUAGGAAGAACACCGGUGGCGAAGGCGGCUCACUGGCUCGAUACUGACACUGAGGCACGAAAGCGUGGGGAGCAAACGGGAUUAGAUACCCUCGUAGUCCCUGAGCGGGCUGGCAAGGCGCAU
rnacentral:rRNA from 1 species